AUUUAUAUAGUUUAAAUAAAACAAUACAUUUUCAUUGUAUAAAUAAUAUACUAAUUAUUUAUAAAUA
rnacentral:tRNA from 1 species